GACGAACGCUGGCGGCGUGCUUAACACAUGCAAGUCGAGCGGUAAGGCCCUUCGGGGUACACGAGCGGCGAACGGGUGAGUAACACGUGAGCAAUCUGCCCUUCACUUUGGGAUAACUUCCGGAAACGGUGGCUAAUACCGAAUGCGACUACCGGCUGCAUGGUCUGGUGGUGGAAAGUUUUUGCGGUGGGGGAUGAGCUCGCGGCCUAUCAGCUUGUUGGUGAGGUAAUGGCUCACCAAGGCUUCGACGGGUAGCCGGCCUGAGAGGGUGACCGGCCACACUGGGACUGAGACACGGCCCAGACUCCUACGGGAGGCAGCAGUGGGGAAUAUUGGACAAUGGGCGGAAGCCUGAUCCAGCAACGCCGCGUGAGGGAUGACGGCCUUCGGGUUGUAAACCUCUUUCAGCUCCGGCGAAGUUCUGUCUUUUUGGGCGGAUUGACGGUAGGAGCAGAAGAAGCACCGGCCAACUACGUGC
rnacentral:rRNA from 1 species